GACUUUCAUGACGUGACGGGCGGUGUGUACAAGGCCCGGGAACGUAUUCACCGCAGCGUUGCUGAUCUGCGAUUACUAGCGACUCCGACUUCACGGGGUCGAGUUGCAGACCCCGAUCCGAACUGAGACCGGCUUUAAGGGAUUCGCUCCACCUCACGGUAUCGCAGCCCUCUGUACCGACCAUUGUAGCAUGUGUGAAGCCCUGGACAUAAGGGGCAUGAUGACUUGACGUCGUCCCCACCUUCCUCCGAGUUGACCCCGGCAGUCUCCUGCGAGUCCCCACCAUCACGUGCUGGCAACACAGGACAAGGGUUGCGCUCGUUGCGGGACUUAACCCAACAUCUCACGACACGAGCUGACGACAGCCAUGCACCACCUGUCUACCGGCCACAAGGGAAACCACAUCUCUGCAGUCGUCCGGUACAUGUCAAACCCAGGUAAGGUUCUUCGCGUUGCAUCGAAUUAAUCCACAUGCUCCGCCGCUUGUGCGGGCCCCCGUCAAUUCCUUUGAGUUUUAGCCUUGCGGCCGUACUCCCCAGGCGGGGCGCUUAAUGCGUUGGCUACGGCACGGAUCCCGUGGAAGGAAACCCACACCUAGCGCCCACCGUUUACGGCGUGGACUACCAGGGUAUCUAAUCCUGUUCGCUACCCACGCUUUCGCUCCUCAGCGUCAGUUACUGCCCAGAGACCCGCCUUCGCCACCGGUGUUCCUCCUGAUAUCUGCGCAUUUCACCGCUACACCAGGAAUUCCAGUCUCCCCUGCAGUACUCGAGUCUGCCCGUAUCGCCUGCAAGCCCGCAGUUGAGCUGCGGGAUUUCACAGACGACGCGACAAACCGCCUACGAGCUCUUUACGCCCAGUAAUUCCGGACAACGCUCGCACACUACGUAUUACCGCGGCUGCUGGCACGUAGUUGGCCGGUGCUUCUUCUCCCACUACCGUCACUUGCGCUUCGUCAUGGGUGGAAAAAGGUUUACAACCCAAAAGGCCGUCAUCCCUCACGCCGGCGUGCCUGCAUCAGGCUUGCGCCCAUUGUGCAAUAUUCCCACUGGCUGCCUCCCGUAAGAAUCUGGGGCCGGUGCUCAAUCCCAAUGUGGGCGG
rnacentral:rRNA from 1 species